CAGAGCUAUAAAAACAGCUAAACCUACAUAUGGUGAUCAGUGCACUGAGAGCAAGAGUCAUGCAAAACUUUGGCUCCCUGCAUAGCUUCAGGAGCCAUUGGCAACUGCAGCCUCUCCCAGGGCCAUUCAAAACCACAGCUCAAGCAGCCUGGAAAUCAUUCUGCAAUCUGUUUUUGCCUAUCUGAAAGAAAGCCAGAAGGCCUCUGGUGUCUGACUUAACUUCUUAUUCCUUACAUAGAUUGUUUCACUGAUGCAUCCUGAAAUUCUUUUUUUUUCAGCAGCAAGAGGAAGCACAUGGCAGAAAGCUGGGAGGAGAAAUCCUGUACUUAAUUUCCUGUAACUGCCUCUGCAGCUCCGUCAGCUCAGCAGCGUCAAGGCAGUAAAAUCCUUGUGACCAUCAGCAAAGUGUUUUCUACAGAUGUAACUAUUUCAAGGAUCCUUGAGACUGCGCAGGCAGAAUCAGUGAAGUGAAAGUGGCUGCCUGUGGGCAGACUGCACAAAAAGGACUGACAACAAGGAAUGCAGGGACCAACGGUUUGCUCUGGGUACAGUCUAGGCACAGCUUCAUAGGGAGGCAAAACAGGUGUGGAGGAUUAAACACAGGAAAAGUGAAAUGACUGACUAAAAAUCAGUACAAAACAAUCUCUGAGGAGUACAGAACUCAUCUAUUAAACAUGAGAAUAACAGUUAUUUAGUUUUGACCAACAGAAAAGAGCAGAUUAGCAGGCCAGCUGCUAGUCACUGAACUGGGCUGAACCAGGAGUAGCUGAUAAGGUUCAUUAAUUCUUGCCCACUCAGCCCUUGCAGUCUGCUAGCACUGGUGUUGGGGAAAUGGGAGAUUGAGGAUACAACUGAACCUACACACUGAUCCUCGAGUCCAGCUGCUGAAGGUGUUCAAGAACUCCAUAAGGAAUUGUAGGAUUCCAUAUCCUAUUGAUUCAUCCUACAGCACUCGGAUGUCAUGGAGCUAAAGUUUCCCCUUUUUCCCGCUGAGCCAACAAGUUAUAUAUACUCAUCAGAAGGCAUUAAAGAUGGACAGGGAUGUUCCUCCUCAGUUAGCAAGUUUUGCAUCUAUGAAACUCUUUCCCUGUUCUGCAUCUUCCAGGUAUUUUAAGAAAACAUUGGCCAGUUUGUAACUGCCUCCUUGAGCUGCUGCCCUUGGGGCUCCAGGUGACAUGAGCAACAGCCCAGCCACUAACUGGCUUCCUGACAGAGUGUCUGUCCAUGAGAUUGGCUAGAGAAUGAGCAAGGAAUGAAAUACAUCCAACUUUGAGUUCCAGACCCAGCUGAGGGGCAAAGCUACACCCAAUGGUGGUAGAAGUGUGUAGAUUUCCAGACUCCUGCCACACAUGUCCUUCAUCAGUGGCUGGCUAUGUUACCAAGUACCUAGAAAACUAUGAAGUCAUGUCCUUUGCCAUAGCCUAUAACGGUUCCAAAGAAUCUACAGUGAAUUGUUCCUUAAACCCUUCCAACCACUGACUGACUAGACUCCACCUAAGUGCCUUUGCCCUUCGCACAAGACUGGGAAUAAUGCAUAGCUUUCCUGUAUGGAGAGGCAACAACAAGACAAGCCUUCAGCAUUUCCUAAACUCAGAUCAACCUUCUCAAGAAUUUUCUGCCAUUGCAAUCUAAGUUUUCAGGCAGAUAUGGAUCAGGGGUCACCUCAAUCUUUCCACAACUUUUCUGUCUCAACGAAUGUCAGCUUCAAAGCCCAACAUAACCACGCAGAUUUUUUUUCCCUGCAAAUUUUGUCUCCUCUACCCUCAGCGUGGAAGAUCUGAAUGUUCAGUAUCCAAGCAAAUAAGCUCUCCUGAUCCAUUUCAAAAGAUUUCAUACUCACUCUAGCACUCUUAAAGAUGCCAUCGCAUGAAGAACUUUUGCAAGAUUUUCUGCUCCAAAAUCACAAAUGUUAUUAUUGUACAAGCUGCAGACAACAAAACCAGUAUAGUUACAAUCAAAUAAUGAACAAUGUAAACAGAUUAUAUAUUAGAUCACGAAAUUCUGGAUAUAAUUGGUACAUCUUAACUUCCAAUUUUCCUUAUCUAAUUGCAGCUAAUCAUUUCAUGUUUCUAAACAGUUUCAUGGUUUCUAUAUCAAGCAAGGCAAAUAGCUUUUUUCAGCUUACACAGCUACAGCAAAAAUAGGUCUAGGAUUCUUAAUGAAUACUAAGAACAUUCCUGACUACAUCAGAGAAAAUUAAUAAUCUGCAAGAAAAUGAGGCUCAAAUCUUUGGUGCACUGCAUUCAAAAGUUUUCAAUGUGAGCAAAUUAUCCAAGAAGUGCACACCACAGUUUUUUGUAUUCCCCCUGAGACACUUCAUUCAGGCCUAUGCCAGAGACAUAAAUGAAGCGAAAUGGGCCAUUUGUCCCUUACCAGCAAGUAUGCGCUACCUCACUGAUGGCUUAGCAAGCUCUGCAUACAUGUAAGCUUGCAAUGGAUCAUGUUCUUGUGUGUGAAUUUGUAAAGGGCAUUAUUAAGCACUAGGUAUUAUGAAUUAGAUUUUAAAAUCAGUAUGUUCAUUGUUAUAUUCCUGAGAUAUGCUUCUGUAUGACUACACUGGGUCAUAUGUUUAUCUUCUCCUUUCAGGCUUUGUAGUCAAAACUUGGCUAUUGCAAGUUGUGUGCACAUGGAUUCUGUUUCCAGUGAUUUCUGACAGAGACAGUAAGGUGUGUUAUGUAAAACAACUGAACAGGACACAACCACUUACCUUAGUGUUGUUAAUGAAGAUAAGGCAGGAAGAGUUGUAGCUAGUUUCUCUGCACCCACAUCUGUUAUCUUAUUCUGUGAUAAGCUACAGUAGAUGAGAUGGCUUUGUUAGCUGAGCACAUUUAUUCUAAUUGAUUAAUAUAUGGAGCAAAUUGAUUUUAGAUGUUGUCCCGAACAACAAAGGUGAUGCUACAAUACAGUGUGAUAAGGCCUAGAGUUACCAUUAACCCAAGACCUUUCCUCAGGAUUUAAGAUAAUACAGUUUCAAGAGUCUUUCCUUACAAAAAAGAUUAAAUUUGGCACAUUUCUGCAAAAAAUUGAGAGCAGUAACUGGUACUUCUCAGUCAAAAAGAAAAGCAGGAAAAAAGAAAGAAAAACAAAUACCCAGAAAAAUAUUAC